AGAGUUUGAUCAGUGGCUCAGGACGAACGCUGGCGGCGUGCUUAACACAUGCAAGUGGAGCGACGAACCGGGGCUUGCCCCGGGGCAGAGCCGCGAACGGGUGAGUAACACGUGGGUAACCUGCCUCAAUGAUUGGGACAACCCGGGGAAACUCGGGCUAAUACCAAAUGUGUUCACUCCUUCUAAGGGGAGUGAGGAAAGGAAGCUUCGGCCUCCGCAUUGAGAUGGGCCCGCGGCCCAUUAGCUUGUUGGUGAGGUAACGGCUCACCAAGGCUUCGAUGGGUAGCUGGUCUGAGAGGACGAUCAGCCACACUGGGACUGAGACACGGCCCAGACUCCUACGGGAGGCAGCAGUGGGGAAUCUUGCACAAUGCGCGAAAGCGUGAUGCAGCAACGCCGCGUGGGGGAAGACGGCCUUCGGGUUGUAAACCCCUUUCAGUUGGGACGAAGCUUCGUCGGUGAAUAGCCGGUUGGAGUGACGGUACCUUCAGAAGAAGCCCCGGCUAACUACGUG
rnacentral:rRNA from 1 species